ACACCGUUGGUGAAGUGGUUAUCAUGCUUGCCUUCCAUAAUCGUCAUGAUAAGCAAGCGGCUCGGGUUCGAUUCCCGAACGGUGUA